GGGAGUUGGCCUCCCGGAGCCGGCCCGCAGGGGCAGGCUUCAAACCAAUCCAGGCUGCUGCGUUUAAGAGACGGGGUUGUGAGCGGCUGAACUGCUUCAACUAGAUGCAAAGCAGGA
rnacentral:ncRNA from 1 species